CACUGUCAGAAGUUCAAGGUUCAACGAACCUUGUUCCAGCACGGAUGAUAAGGGGUCUAAUUCCAUGCCGAUGAAGGCAAAAAACUUUAUUGCUGGUAAGUUAGUUAGUAGUUAAAACGAAGGGUAGCACGACCAG
rnacentral:ncRNA from 25 species